rnacentral:lncRNA from 1 species
AUGGCCAGUUUCCCAAAGUGUCAUUUUUUAGAACCCAUUGGUGAUGUGGUCCUGUCUGCUUCACUUUCCCACAGGAAAAAGUGCAGCUGCCUACCCCUGACCCCAGUGUGUCUGCAUUUUCCUUUUGCAGGGCUCGGUUAUGACCCGUACAACCCUGAGCUGCCCAAGCCCCCCGCACAGAGGGAGAAUGGCAUCCUGGGCAGAGGCAUUGAUUCCCACUCAGACAUCCUGGAGCUGGAGUUGGUCAACCAGGCCAUCGAGGCCGUGCGCUCUGAGGUGGAGCUGGAGCAGAGGCGCUACCAGGAGCUGCUGGAGACGGCCCGGGAGUGUGGUUCGGCUGAGGCCCCCGUCCUGGCACCUCAUGGCCCUGCUGCCUGCCCCGCCACCAGCCUGGACGGGGACGCCUUCCCACUGUCCUUCGAUUACAACCCCAGCGGCCAUGGCCUUUUGAGCCCCGAUGCCAGUUAUCAGCCCACCCCACUGGCUGCCACUGCUGAGCCUGGCUGCAAGUACUCACUGGCCUCGCCAGACCGGGCUCAGGGCCAUGGUGGAGGGGGUGGCGGUGCCCUGGAGUAUGUCCCCAAGGCCGUGGGCCAGCCCCGGCGGUACAGCCGCCCCAUCUCCAGCAGUAAGUACGUGGUGGACAACUCAAAGCCGUCUACAGACCUGGAGUAUGACCCCCUGUCCAACUUCUCUGCCCGCCUGCUCAGCAGGGCCAGCACCAAGGACGAAAGGGCCCCCAAGCGGCCCCGGAGCUCCCGUGGCAGCGAGCCCUACACACCUGCACCCAAGAAGCCCUGUGACCCCUUUGGCAGCUGUGAUGCCAGGUUCUCGGACUCGGAUGAUGAUGCUGUUGUCGCUCCGGGUGACAAACCCGUUACCACCAGCCCCCCAAGAGCUCAAGGGGGCGCUGAGAGCAAGGCCCCGGGGAAACCGGGCUCCAGGGAGGGCCCUGAACUGGAGGAGGGCAGCCUUCGGGAGACCAAGGAGAUGGCGGUGCAGUGUGACGUGGAGGAUCUCGGGCCACCUCCUCGGAGCCCAGGCAGGCCACCCCUGGCUAAGCCCAGCUCACCAGCCAGGGCUGCGCCAGAGCGCAGCAGCCCCAAGGAGGGGAGGCCUAAGAAGAAAAGUGGGGUGCCACCCACCGCCAGCCACAAGGACAGUGUCCGGAAGACAGAUAAGGGCAAGGAUGGUGCACGAGGGAGGCCGGCUGAGAAGCCCGCUGCAGACAGGAGGGGCCCGCAGGCCGGCAGCCCCUGGCACAAGGCAGAGCGGCCCCAAGGGACCAAGAAAAAGCCAUCUUCAGCCACUCCGGUGGCCAGCUCAGGGAAAGGCCAACCUGAACGGCCAGGACCGCUGCCGAGCCCCACACAGGGGGCAGCCCGCCAACCGUCAGAUAGGAUAGCUGGGAAGACCCUGUCAGGGAAGCUGGCAGAGAGGAAGGCCCGCUCGCUGGACGAGGGCGCCCCCCGGGACGCCCCCAAGCUGCCCAGGCGGACCCUGAGCCACGCCGAGCUCUUCGGGGAUGAGAGUGAGGACGAGGACCCGCGGCCCCAGGCGCUGGCCACCCGGCCUCCCGCUCCCCCCAGCCUCAGCUCUAGCUCAGACUCGGACUCAGACUCAGACUCCAGCCUGGGUCUGUCGGCUGCGCGGGGGCCGCCCAAGCGCCUCAAGGCCUCCCCACCCCCUUCCUCCUCGUCCUCCUCCUCCUCCUCGGGGGCGGGCUCUGACGUGGACUACUCGGCCCUGGAGAAGGAAGUUGACUUUGACUCCGACCCCAUGGAAGAGUGCCUGCGCAUCUUCAACGAGUCAACGGCCGUCAAGACUGAGGACAAGGGCCGCCUGGCCCGGCAGCCCCCCAAGGAGGAGAAGACUGAGGACAAGGGGCAUUCAGGCCUGACCACGCUGUUUCCCGGGCAGAAGAGGAGGAUUUCUCACCUCUCCAAGCAAGGCAAGGAGGCGGAGCCCAUGAGGAGAGGCCCUGCGCCCCCUGCCCGGCCCCCGACCGCCCAGGAGGUGUGCUACCGACGGGCCCAGCAGGCGCAGAGGGAGUCAGCCGGCUGGCUCCAGGCCGCCCAGCAGCUGGGUGAGAAGCCCAGCUCUGUCCACAUCUCGGCCCCAGGAGAGAAGCGGAGGAUUGCCCAUGUCCCCAACCCCCUCCUGGCUGCAGCCCCCACAGGCGCCAAGAGGACCCUCUCGGCCAGCAGCAGCCAGCACCCCAACGGCCCCGAGCCAGGCAGCCAGCCCCUGAAGACACGCACAUUGUCGGGCAUGGCAUCCAAAACCACCACCACCGUGGCCCCCAAGCGUGUGGCGCACAGCCCGUCCUUACAGAGUUUAAAGAAGCCCAUUAUCCCAAAAGAGUUUGGGGGCAAAGUCCCCACUGUCAUCCGCCAGCGGUAUCUCAACCUGUUUAUUGAAGAGUGCCUCAAAUUUUGCUCUUCUAACCAGGAAGCCAUAGAGAAGGCGCUCAACGAGGAGAAGGUAGCCUACGACCGCAGCCCCAGCAAGAACAUCUACCUGAACGUGGCUGUGAACACCCUCAAGAAGCUGCGCGGCCUGGGCCCGGGUGCUGGAGCUGGUCUCAACAAAACCAGCGGCCGGAGGGUGGUGUCCCAUGAAGUGGUGCUGGGGGGCAAGUUGGCUGCCAGGACCAGCUUUUCACUCAGCCGCCCUAGCAGCCCCCGUGUGGAGGAUCUGAAAGGGGCCGCCCUGUACAGCCGCCUCAAGGAGUACCUGCUCACGGAGGGCCAGCUCAAGGAGAAUGGCUACCCCUUCCCGCACCCCGAGAAGCCUGGUGGUGCCGUCAUCUUCACAGCCGAGGAGAAGAAACCCAAGGACUCCUCCUGCAGGAUCUGCUGCCGCUGCGGCGCCGAGUACCUCGUGUCUUCCUCUGGCCGCUGUGUGCGUGAGGAGGAGUGUUACUACCACUGGGGGCGGCUCCGUCGGAACCGAGUGGCCGGUGGCUGGGAGACUCAGUACACGUGCUGCUCAGCUGCCAUAGGCUCUACCGGCUGUCAGGUCGCCAAGCAACAUGUGCAGGAUGGCCGGAAGGAAAACUUGGAAGGGUUCGUGAAGACUUUUGAGAAAGAGCUUUCAGGAGAUGCGCAUCCAGGAGUCUACGCCCUCGACUGUGAGAUGUCCUAUACCACGUACGGCCUGGAGCUGACGCGCGUCACAGUGGUGGACACGGAUCUCCAGGUUGUGUACGACACCUUUGUCAGGCCAGACAACGAGAUUGUCGACUAUAACACUAGGUUUUCAGGAGUGACCGAGGCUGACCUUGCAGACACGAGCAUCUCACUCCGGGAUGUCCAGGCUGUGUUGCUUAGCAUGUUCAGCUCAGACACCGUCCUCAUCGGUCACAGUCUGGAGAGUGACCUGCUGGCCUUGAAGGUCAUUCACAGCACCGUGGUGGACACGUCUGUGUUAUUCCCGCAUCGCCUGGGCCUCCCCUACAAGCGCUCCCUGCGGAAUCUCAUGGCCGACUACCUCAGACAGAUCAUCCAGGACAAUGUGGACGGGCACAGCUCCAGCGAGGAUGCCAGUGCCUGCAUGCACCUGGUGAUCUGGAAGAUCCGAGAAGACGCCAAGACCAAGCGGUGACCGCCGCCUGCCCGCCCACUCGCCUCUCCCACAGCCCCGGCCCAUCCUCUACCCCAGGCCUCUUCCAAAACAGUGCAAUAAAUCUCGAGAGCUAACCCUG